rnacentral:rRNA from 1 species
GAUGAACGCUGGCGGCGUGCCUAAUACAUGCAAGUCGAGCGAACAGACGAGGAGCUUGCUCCUCUGACGUUAGCGGCGGACGGGUGAGUAACACGUGGAUAACCUACCUAUAAGACUGGUAUAACUUCGGGAAACCGGAGCUAAUACCGGAUAAUAUAUUGAACCGCAUGGUUCAAUAGUGAAAGACGGUUUUGCUGUCACUUAUAGAUGGAUCCGCGCCGCAUUAGCUAGUUGGUAAGGUAACGGCUUACCAAGGCGACGAUGCGUAGCCGAGCUGAGAGGGGGGUAGGCCACACUGGAACUGAGACACGGUCAAGACUCCUACGGGAGGCAGCAGUAGGGAAUCUUCCGCAAUGGGCGAAAGCCUGACGGAGCAACGCCGCGUGAGUGAUGAAGGUCUUCGGAUCGUAAAACUCUGUUAUUAGGUAAGAACAAAUGUGUAAGUAAAUAUGCACGUCUUGACGGUACCUAAUCAGAAAGCCACGGCUAACUACGUG